CCUCCCCACUCCAACCAUCAAACACGCUGAAACACAUACGGGAAGGGAAGAACAUUCCAUGAAAAACAAACCUAGUUUGAUCUUUAAAUCCUUGUAACUUUUGAUCCGAAACUCCGAUCGUCGCACUAUUUGCGGCCACGCGACCGCGGCGUCGAGCUCUACAAAGCCCAAAACUUUAUUCAAGAGGAUCUAAUUAACUUAAGGGGAAGGCUCAAUCUUGCCUCUUUGAUCCUUAGGUAUGGUAGUGUAUAUAUGUAUAUUGGAGCUUGAUUGAGGUUUUGGAAAGCUUGGAAGUGGAGCUAUAUGCUGGAAAAUCUGUUGGUGAGGUGUUGAGGCCUUGAAAGUUGAGGAAAAGUGAAAUUGAAAGUGUUCCGAGUUAAGCGAAAAAUCGGGCAAAGUAUGAUUUUGGUUUCCUGUAUCUAAAAUAUAAUGUAUUGUGAAAACUUAGGCUAGUGACCCUAAGAUGAGAAUUGAAUUGUUGAUGUAAUUGAUUGAAUGAUGUGAAUUAUGUUGAUUAUAUGGAUAAUGAUUUUGGAUGGUUGUGGUUGAUUGGGUGAGAAUAAUUAUUAUGUACGUGGUUAAUGAUUUUGGGGAUUAUUGAUGAUAUUCUUGUUGAUAAGUAUGUGAUUUGUAUAUGAUAUUGAGUGGUAUAUGUAUAGUGAUUGAUGAAUUUGAAGUUAAAUAUUGUAUUUAAUAUAGACACUUGAUGAUGUAUGAAUGGAUAUUGUUAAAUUGGAACUAUUGGAUUGGAAAUUGAGAAAAAUAGAGGAUUGGUAGGAUGUGGAUAUAAUGAAGGAGUUGGAUAAUAUUUAAUGCUGAAUUUGGUAGGUUUUUAGGUUGGUUUUAAAAGGUAGGAAUUGGUAUAUUUUGAAAAUGGAGGUUGUAGAGUUUUAUGAAAAUUGUGAUUUUAACUCAACUUUGACGGAGUAUAAUUUGGUUUCCAGACCUUCGAUUUAUUUCAAAC